GGGGAUUAGGGUAAGUUAGGUGACGCUUCAACUUUCUCAUUCCCUCAGACUCUCUCGUUCUCACGUUCACACUUUCUUCGCCGAAAAUCGCUCCGCCGCGCCGGAGGCGGCGGAGCUCGGCCAAACUUCAAUCGCCACCUCAUUCUAAUCCUCUCUUCAAUCUCUACCGCAGUGCGUUUCAAAUUAAAAGGGGAAAGAAGAACCUUAGGUCAUAGAUACGGUAGAUUCAAAUCCAAAUAGCAGUGAAUUCACAUAAUUAUAGACGAGGCAAGCAUCGCAAUAACGAGGAAUGAUCAGAGAACGAGAGAACGGAGGGUUUAGAUCCACUUACCUGCCGGAGUGGAGAUUAAACGUGAAGAGGACGAAGGCAAGAAUCCAAGCUUGAUGUAUACCGAACGCCCGAAAUAAACGUCGCGGACAAGAGAAAGCUCCAAUUUCUGGUAGCUUGAUAACAAACCCCUUUUGGCUCAAGUCAUGAGGAGGAAAAUAGAAGCAGUAGACUAUGCUCCAGGUCCAUUAGGAUUUGAAUUGGAGCAUGGGGAACUUAGUGAAAAUCAUGAGAGGUUUGGAUGAAGGACCUUGUAGAGCGAAGGAUGGGGGCUGGAAUUGAAGACUAGACUUAGAACUUAGUAUAUAUUUUAAUAUAUAACAUUCUUGUGAUGUGAGGUAUAACUGGACAGAAAUGAAUAUGGAUGUGGUUAUGUGAUGUAAAUUGUAAUGAUUGUCUUGCCACAUAUUUCUGGAUUUUUUGUAAUGAUAUUGACUUGGAAUGAAUGAAUGACCUCAUAUAUGUGUUGACCUUUGUGACCUUGAAUAAAAA